ensembl:processed_transcript Gas5 growth arrest specific 5
AUUCUGAGCAGGAAUGGCAGUGUGGACCUCUGUGAUGGGACAUCUUGUGGGAUCUCACAGCCAGUUCUGUGGCAAAGGAGGAUGAAGGCUUACGAGGUGAGUACUGAAUAGUAAUGAGAAGUUAGGUUGAAAGGACAGUGCCACAAUGAUGACAUCAUAUUUGCUACUCUUGACAGCUGGGGUGACGAUAGCUUUAAACCACCAUGAUUAUAACUGAGGCACACAAAAUAAUGAUUUGGGGGCUACUUACAGAGUAAGCAGUUUUUACAUAAAGAUUCCCCCCCCCCAGGACUCGUCAGGAAGCUGGAUAACAGAGCGAGCGCAAUGUAAGCAAUUUUGUGUGUGCAUGUGGUCCCAUUACAAGGAAUACCCAAUGGCAAAUGAGCACUAAAGAUCCCUCAACCCACACAUUGAAUGUAUUGUUCCCUGAGAGCAAUUGUAGAUAGAGGAGUGGGUGGGAAGUCUGAAGUCAGGGCAUUGUUUCUGCGUAUCUGAGGAGGCUGGUUUUUGAUAUGUGGGAGCUAGUGGUCGUUAACGCAUUUACCCCCUAUUUGGUGGACUCUGGUUCCCCCAUCUUAAGUGCUGAGUCAGGGGCCUAACCGGGCAGCUUUAACUAUUUGUUUGUUGUAGGUGCUAGAAUAGAAGACCAGAAAAUGAAAUGGUAAGUCAAACUAAAGGAAUUGUAGAUGCUAAACAGGCUUGGCUUUGUUGCACUCUGCCAAAUACUGGCCACGUGUUCCAUCCUGGUCAUAGCUGAACACAGCCUGCAUGAUGACGAACAAAUACUGACUACCUGAAGAUCUUAUUAGCUCUAUCUGAUGGUGGGCUUCCUUGACAUUUAUUGUGGGGCAAACUCAAAUCUGUUGACUGCAUUGAAAAGCUCUUUAAUGUUUUUUUCUAGGUGGAGUUUGAGGCUGGAUAGACAGUUUGAAAGGUAAGUAUUGAAAAACACUUGAAUUUGGGUCAGUACAAAGGGACAUGCAGAGACUUUGAAUCAUCAAAACUCCAGCAUGCAUUGUCUUACGGAUGUUUAGAUAGGUGUGUUUUGGACAACACUCUGGGUUCUUGUAAUGAUGUUGAUCAAAUGUCUGAGCUGAAAAUAACUUGUAGACAAUUUUUAACACUGAAGAACCUUGUGGCAGGCAACUAAGAAUAGUCGAAUGAUGUUUAGCAUAUUUGUAAGAGGUAUUUUCUUUUAAUUCUAGUUAACUGGUUGCAUGCUUGUUCAUUUGGCUGGCUUGCUUGGGUAAGAAGCCAUUGGGGGCCUUGAAUUCCCUCCAGUCAUUUGCAGUAUUUACUGCAUAACAUUUAGCUUUUGAACAUGCAUGUGCUACCAUCAGUACUAAAUGGUGCCUUAAAUUUUUUUCAGGUACAAAUAAUGGUUUGAAUAAAGAAAGGUAUUAAUGGGUCACCUCAAGUGAAGGCACUGCAAACACAAUGAUUGGUCAUUCUGAAUUUCCGGUCCUUCAUUCUGAAUUUCAAAGGCUCCUGUGACAAGUGGACAUGCAGUGACUGCACCUUUGUUUCUGAGGUGCCUGGAUGGAGGCUCAAAUAGAAGAUGGUGUCAGAUAUAUUGUGUUAAAAUUUUACCAUUAAAGUGUAUUAUAACAUGAA